rnacentral:rRNA from 1 species
AUACGGAGGAUCCGAGCGUUAUCCGGAUUUAUUGGGUUUAAAGGGUGCGCAGGCGGCCAUUUAAGUCAGCGGUUAAAUCGUGGGGCUCAACCCCAUUCUGCCGUUGAUACUGGGUGGCUUGAUUGCGGUCGAGGUGGGCGGACUUCGUUGUGUAGCGGUGAAAUGCAUAGAUAUGACGAAGAACACCGAUUGCGUAGGCAGCUGACCAGACCGCAAAUGACGCUCAUGCACGAAAGUGCGGGGAUCGAACAGGAUUAGAUACCCUGGUAGUCCGCACAGUAAACGAUGAAUACUUGUUUUCGGCGAUAUAAUGUCGGAGGCAAAGCGAAAGCGAUAAGUAUUCCACCUGGGGAGUACGCCGGCAACGGUGAAACUCAAAUGAAUUGACGGGG